rnacentral:rRNA from 1 species
UACGGAGGGUGCAAGCGUUAUCCGGAUUUACUGGGUUUAAAGGGUGCGCAGGCGGAUAUGUAAGUCAGUGGUGAAAUCUUCCCGCUUAACGGGAAAACUGCCGUUGAUACUAUAUAUCUUGAAUGCCGUGGAGGUAAGCGGAAUAUGUCAUGUAGCGGUGAAAUGCUUAGAUAUGACAUAGAACACCGAUAGCGAAGGCAGCUUACUACAUGUUAAUUGACGCUGAGGCACGAAAGCGUGGGGAGCAAACAGG